CCCUGGGUGGUAAAAAGGGUUAAUGUGGUUGGCUGCUAACCAAAAGGUUGGAGGUUCUAUCCUUCCAGAGGUU
rnacentral:tRNA from 1 species